rnacentral:ncRNA from 1 species
GAGAGCCGGAUAAGCUGAAAGGUUUACGUCCGGUUCGGAGGGUUGCGACACGAAGUUGCAUACAUAGCAGUUGAGCCUGGAAACAGGACUCAACCCGAU